AGGUAGUGUAGAGAGAUGGUGGUGACGUGUUACCAUGGACCCCAGGUAGUGUAGAGAGAUGGUGGUGACGUGUUACCAUGGACCCCAGGUAGUGUAGAGAGAUGGUGGUGACGUGUUACCAUGGACCCCAGGUAGCGUAGAGAGAUGGUGGUGACGUGUUACCAUGGACCCCAGGUAGUGUAGAGAGAUGGUGGUGACGUGUUACCAUGGACCCCAGGUAGUGUAGAGAGAUGGUGGUGACGUGUUACCA